rnacentral:tRNA from 1 species
UAUUUAGUGUCUGAAAAAGAAAUAUUCUGAUAGAAUAUUAAUAUGUAUUUUAGUUACAUCUAAAUAA